rnacentral:rRNA from 1 species
UGUCUCAUGAUAUGAGAUAGUUCCUGCCCAGUGACAUGUUCAACGGCCGCGGUAUCCUAACCGUGCAAAGGUAGAAAAAUAACUUGCCUAUUAAUUGUAGGCUAGAAUGAAGGGAUUAACAAAAUAAAAGCUGUCUCAAUUAGUCACCUAAAAAUUAUUUUCUAUUCGAAGAAAAAUAGAUACUCGAAGGACAAGAAGACCCUAUAGAGCUUUAUUUUAUCUGCAGUACAGUAAUAUUCGGUUGGGGCGACCCAGGGUUAACUAAUCACCCAUAAAAAAGAUGUAUAAAUCUUGACCCUAAAGAUCACAAGACCAAGCUACCUUAGGGAUAACAGGCUAAUCCCAUUCAAGAGUCCUUAUCAACAAUGGGGAUUGGCACCUCGAUGUUGGCUUAGGGAAUCUAUAUAGCGCAAAAGUUAUAUAAAGAUGGUUUGUUCAACCAAUAAUUCCCU